AGCAUGGUCCCAGCUAGCAAAAAAUAUCCGCACGGCUUCUUUUUGCCGCCGGCCCUAAGCUGUCGGCUAUAGGUGCGUCCCGCUGGCGGGGAUGAAACGUUUGCCGCCGAAUACGUCACUCCCAUUUCUUGCGAGAUGCCGCCGGCGAAAAGCCGGCGGGCCGACUGCUUCAUUUUCUUUGGCGGUUGCCUCCGUCUAAUGGACCGCGGCCGGCUGGCGGCAAGCCGCUUUAAAAUACAAGGAUUUCUACUAAAAUCGACCAGCAGCCAAGGCUAUGUUUAGCAUGUUGGGAGUUAGAAUGGAAGUGGAACUGACAGCAUUUUAACUACUUUUCACAUCUGAAGCGAUUAUAAAAUCAUAAUAGCCUAUAUGUGAAUUAAAUCCCAUAUUAUUAUUAUUAUUAUCAUUAUUUUUAAAGCCAUUAGGGUUUAUUCUUGACUCUUGAUUCCAUGAUAAGGUAAGGUUUAGGAAAUGACAUUUAAAUUUAAAAUAGAUUUAAAAUAGAUAUUUAAUUCAUGGUAUAAACAAUUUAGCUGAAUAAAUUGAUGAAGUUAGACUUUUCACUAAUGCAUGGCUACAUCAGUGAACAGUGAAAGACAUCUGCAACAUGGCCAAAAUCUUGGGAUUUUUUUUGGGCGGAGCUAAAACGGUGGCUCGAUGACGCACUGGAGCCACUGAGCUCCUGGCCCCUCCCCAAACAACAUAACUAGAGCACACAUUCGCAUCAGUUCGCCGCUCAAUCGCGAGUUUCUGUGGACUACCAUCGUUUAAAUACCUUGACCGGAGCAUAACUGGUUAACUUCACACAAGAGACCUACUGUUGGACAAUUGUUUUGGCUUUAAAGGAGAAAGUCAUCGCUCUGUAAUUGGCCCUUGGACUCCCCUGGCAUCUCGUGUACAGCAUGAAGUUUUCAGCUAUGAAGAUUUCCAGAGACUCCAGAAUUAAAAACAAGCCGUGAUGGAGGAGAACCAAGCCCUUAGGGAGGAGAACCAAGCCCUGAGGGAGGAGAACCAAGCCCUGAUGGAUGAGAACCAAGCCCUUAGGGAGGAGAACCAAGCUCUGAGGGAAAGCACUGCACGAGCAGCUUCGGAUGACAGCGGCUCACUUCAAGAGCAGGUGAAGCAAGUUGGGACAAUGUUGAAGACGUUUGCUCGCACUGGGCAAUCAGGUGCAGAUCAGACCUUAAUGCUGCGACGUCUUGGAGAGUUUGCCGAUGUUGUGCGAAGCAUGGACAACAAAAUGGACACUAUGCUGCAACAUUUCAGUGCCAAUGUGUCUGUUGGAGAGUUAUCCCUGCCAGGGGAUCUGUUACUCCCUCUAGACACCCAGGAAGAUUUGGCGUUGCUUGACAACAGUUUGAGGCAGGAUAAAGAGCUCCAGGAACGAUUUCUUCGGUUUUUGGCAAUCAAAUGUGGGAGGGACCUAUAAGACAACCGUCUGGCGGAUGCUUCAAAGUACCUUCUCUAAUCACCUUUCCAUCAAUACAACCUGGACUGGAGUUGGGGAUAAAGCAUGUUUUAGAGACAUGUUCCUGAAGACCAUUGUUCAAAGAGCCAUCCGGAAGAACCCGGCAACACAGGAUGCCACUGAUGAAGCCGUCCAGGUUAACGUUACGCGUUACCUGAAAGGAGCAUCUGACCGUGAAGGCGGAAAAAGGUGCCGCACAGCUGAGAGGGACCCACAGCCGACCCCUUAAACCUAGGCUGACUACUGACACCCCAGCAUCACUGACAACUGGAACCCUUUCUUUAUCCUGCAGUCAGUAACAUCAAGACCCCUAAAGAAGCCAGAAGUGUCAGACUGCACUCCCCAAUCCACACUGUUCACUGUGGAUAUUAUCAUAGUGCUUAACUCUUAUUAUAUUGUUAAAUAUAGCUUGUAAAUCCUUGUGCCACAGGUCAGCAUUGCAGUUAUAUCUGUUCUACUACUUUUUUUACCUCAGUAUUUUUUAUAUAUAUGUGAAGAUGUUUAUCACAGAUACAAGAGACAUCUUGUACCCCAGGUCAGCAAUGCCAAUAUAAUGGUCUAUUCUACUCCAGAGCUUUAUUCUAAAUUAUUACCACUUAUCUUAUUGUUAGAAAUGGCUUGUAAAUGUGAUGUUAUACCUGAAUUUUUUUUGGUGUCCUGCACAUUCUUUGGUACCAGAUAUACUCAUUACUUAUGUUUACUGGUAAUUCUUUUCAUCCCAGAGCUGACCUCUUUAUAUUAUUAACAAUUAUUGUAAGUGUUAUAAUUUGCUUGUAAGCUAAGGCUGUUUUUUUUUUUUUUAACAAUUUAAUUGGAAACCUGCAUGUUCUUUUGUGUGUGUGUGUAUAUAUUUUUUUCUCUUUUUUUCUGUUAUUUAUAUUUCAGGGAUCUGACAUCAUGUUUCAAUGACAGUUACUGUACUUUGAAAUGUGGAAUUAAAACGUCAAAUGGAAAUUUGUCUGGUUUGAUCAAUCAUUAUUCUUGAUAAACUGCAUGAUAUAUAUAUAUAUAUAAGCGGCGACCGAUCGCUCGAAAAUAGCGUUUGCCUCCGACGGGCCGCGGAAGGGUCGCCUUUGAUAUAACGGCGGCGGGACGGCGGUUGGCCCGCGGGCCGGCCGCGGAACGAAGGCGGUAGGAAGGCGGCUGCCGCUUCUAAAAAGCGGCUGCCGCCGGCGGUGCACCGUCAAACGUGUUUGCGAUUACGCCAUUCUGACGCUUCUACUGCCGCCGGAGCGCCGCCGGUGGUCCGCCGACUCAUUGCUAUCUGGGGUCUUUC
ensembl:lncRNA